ensembl:lncRNA
GUGCAGUCGCUAUGCGUUCAAAUGCAAUAAAGAAGCUAUGAACACUAGACUCACAGAAAACUGGAAACAGGUGGAUGUUAUUGCUCACAAACGAGCCUCUGGACACCUGUUCACCAACAGAUGUAGGCCCAGUGCUCGUCAGCUCCAGCUGAUUCAACUGGAACGCCAUUUCAGCCUGAAGACAACCACCACACACCUGUGCCAAUUCUCUCACAGGCUAGCCAACAAUUAAUGGUAACCGAACAACUUCCUCUUCUUGACCAACUUACUUUUUGCUGCACACACAUUAACAAAUACAACGUACCCAGUUCCUAAGCACACCAAACUAUACCUACCUAUCUUCUGGAGCGUGCUGGGCUCGAGGCAACUUUAAAGGCAAAGCUUCAGCAACUGGAGCACUGAAUUGCCUACCCCCAACAGGGAACUAAUCCCCACCCAGGAUUACUCCAAAAAUAAGAAAGACAAAAUAAUAAAAGAGUGCCCGAAGGAAGAACUUAAAAAGCUCAGCUGAACACUCACCUAACUUAACUGGGAAGGUGUAUUUCUACUCUUCUCAAAAAGCAACACAACCAUCACACAAAAGCCAAAAAAACAAAAAAAAAACAAAAACCCAAACACCACCAAUUUCAAACUCCCUUUUCAGAUCCCGGACGAGCCCCCACUUGUUACGUUUCCCUGAGGGGUCUAGGCGGUGAGGGGGCAGUAACAAAAAGUGUCCGGGUCAGAAAAAGGAGACAAGAAGGCAUGAGGGUUAAAUUAAAGAGUUUUAUUAAAGUAGCUCAACUAAAAGAGACGGACAAGCCGCUUUCACCAUUUAAGAAAAACAAAACUCAGGCGUUGGUCAAUAAAGUAAAACGUAAGCCAAAAAGAGCAGCUCACUAACUGUAACCACUCACAUGGCACUCUGGCCCAGAACUCACCUUUCCCUGGGCUUAAAUCUCUUUAAUUACUGACGAGAGUCAGCUGCACAAAAGGGAAAGGUGGCACCUCAGGCAGAAGAGGUAGUGGGACACGCCCACACAGGCACCUUCAUUUAUUAUAACUUAAACAAUAAAAUUAUUUUAAUCUGCAUAACUGCUGCUGACGGCAGUCACAGAGGUUUUCGGGCCUUUCAACAAUCAGACCCCCUUUCCCAGGUG